rnacentral:rRNA from 1 species
AACGAACGCUGGCGGCAUGCCUAACACAUGCAAGUCGAACGAGACCUUCGGGUCUAGUGGCGCACGGGUGCGUAAGGCGUGGGAACCUGCCCUUAGGUUCGGAAUAACUCCCCGAAAGGGGUGCUAAUACCGGAUAAUGUCUUCGGACCAAAGAUUUAUCGCCUUUGGAUGGGCAUGCGUUGGGUUAGGUAGUUGGUAGGGUAAAAGCCUGCCAAGGCGACGAUCCAUAGCUGGCCUGAGAGGAUGAUCAGCCACACUGGGACUGAGACACGGCCCAGACUCCUACGGGAGGCAGCAGUGGGGAAUAUUGGACCAUGGGCGAGAGCCUGAUCCAGCAAUGCCGCGUGAGUGAUGAAGGCCUUAGGGUUGUAAAGCUCUUUUACCCGGGAUGAUAAUGACGGUACCGGGAGAAUAAGCUCCGGCUAACUCCGUG